UCCAAGUCUAUUUUAGCAAGUGCACGUGUCUUCAAAAUGAAAGAUACUCUCCAAAUGGUCUAAUGGCAUCUGGAUCAUAUAGGGUUCUUUUUUUUGUUUUGUUUUGUUUUUAAGUCUUUUAAAAUCAUUUCAAAUCUAGUGAGAUUCUCCAAAAUCUUCAGUAAAACAAUGUUCAAAAUGGCCUGGUGUCUACUAGGUGGAGAGUAAAUCUUUGCUGAAUGAAGACCUUGGUCCUGGGAGAUAUGCUGGAGGUUGAAGGAUGUCUGUAAUCCAUUCUGUGUCCGAGGAUUGGAGCCAGGAAACUCAGGCUCGAGUCCACCCUCUUUUCUGUUCCCCAUCAGCUGAGCUAAAGCAACUGUCACGCUGAGUCCAGAUGGCAAAUAAAUACACACAGCAAUGAGUAAUG